GAGGAAAAAAUGGACAAUAAAGCUCAACUGAUAGCAAAAACAUUUAUUUCUGUUUGAUUUAAUAAUUCAUAAAUGACUUUUAAUUGUGAAAAAACCUCAUGCUACAAGAGAAAUCAGUGGCACUGAAGGAUAGCACAGAAGUUGAAAUUGUGGAUGAGAAAAUGAGAAAAAGGGUAGAACCAGAAAAAUGGCCAAUCCCAGGCCCUCCUCCACGAAUUGUGCCACAAACAGAUUUGUCUCAACUGAUUGAUUGUCCAGAGUUCGUACCAGGCCAAGCCUUUUGCUCACAAUCAGAGACUAUCCCAAAUUCUCCAAGAAUUGGAAGUCCCUUGAUUCCAAAGAAAAAUACUGAAACAAGUAGUCUUCAAGCAAUGUUUAGAGGUUUUUCUACCGGUUUACCUGACUUGGAUUCAGAACCUUGGAUAGAAGUAAAGAGGCAUCACCUGUCCCCAGUCAAAUUAAAGGAAUCAAUACCUAUACCUGAAGAGGAAUCAAAUCAAUAAUGUCUUUCAGGAGAACAAUAACAAGAACUUGAUUCUCUAUUUGAUGAAGAGAUGGAAUAAAUGGAUGAAAAAACACAUUUACUGAUUGGUCUGAUAAAGGUUGAGAUUAUGAAAUUGAUGACCGGGAUUUAAACAGGACUUUGAUUGUAACUCAGACACCUUAUAUGAGAAAACUUCUGGAGGAGACUGAAUAGGAAACCACAUGUCUUAGACAAAACUUACAUGAGAAGUUGUUGAAGUUAAUAAUGGCUCAUAUUACUAUGAGGAGGAUCUAUGGAUGGAUGGAAGAUGAAAAACACAGCCAUAAAG
rnacentral:lncRNA from 1 species